CCGCAUGCGUGAGCGUGAUGGGAGCAAUGGCGGCGGCGAAUCCAGCCGGAGUUGUCUUAGCCGCCGCCGCGGCCGCCGCCGCUACCGUGGCUUCCUCCGCCGCUCUCCUCUCGUACGUCCUCCUCUCCAACCAUCGCUCGAAGUUCCCAUGGAAGAGAUCUCGCACAAACCCUCGAAGAAAUAGGAGGAGGAGCGGCCUCGCCGCCGCCGUCGGCUAUACCCCCCUUAUCAGAAUCAACAGCCUCUCCGACGCGACGGGAUGCGAGAUUCUGGGGAAAGCCGAGUUCUUGAACCCUGGGGGGAGCGUCAAAGACCGUGUGGCCGUUAAAAUCAUUGAAGAGGCUCUGGAUUCUGGAGAGCUUGUCCAUGGUGGUGUAGUGACUGAGGGAAGCGCUGGAAGCACAGCUAUAAGCCUUGCUACAGUUGCUCCAGCAUAUGGAUGUAAAUGUCAUGUCGUGAUUCCAGAUGAUGUUGCCAUCGAGAAGUCCCAAAUACUUGAGGCCCUUGGAGCUACUGUAGAGAGAGUGAGACCAGUUUCGAUUACACACAGAGACCACUAUGUGAAUGUUGCAAGGAGGAGGGCCUUGGAGGCUACUAAGUCCGCAGCAAUGCAAAGAGAAGCUUGUAAAAUGGAAGGCAACAGCUUAAUUCACAUAAAUGGUCAUACACCACAGCAAGAAAAAUGUCAGCCCAUCUCCUCUACUGAUUGUAAAGGAGGUUUCUUUGCUGAUCAGUUUGAAAACUUGGCAAACUUUCAGGCCCAUUAUGAGUGGACUGGUCCUGAAAUAUGGGAACAAACUCGAGGGAGACUGCAUGCCUUUGUUGCUGCUGCAGGUACAGGUGGAACUGUUGCUGGAAUAUCACGGUUUCUCAAGGAAAAGAAUCCAAAUAUUAAAUGCUUCCUUAUUGAUCCACCUGGAUCUGGUCUGUUCAACAAGGUCACAAGAGGAGUAAUGUACUCAAAGGAGGAGGCAGAGGGCCGAAGACUGAAGAACCCUUUUGAUACCAUCACAGAAGGAAUUGGAAUCAACAGACUGACCAAGAAUUUUCUGAUGGCAGAGUUAGAUGGAGCUUACCGUGGCACAGAUAAGGAGGCCGUUGAAAUGUCCAGGUUUCUUCUGAAGAAUGAUGGUCUUUUCAUCGGGAGUUCUUCAGCCAUGAACUGUGUUGGAGCUGUACGAUUGGCACAAUCUUUAGGUCCAGGUCACACAAUUGUAACGAUUCUGUGUGACAGUGGGAUGAGGCAUCUCAGUAAGUUCCACAACGCUCAGUAUCUGGCUGAUCAUGGACUGACCCCCUCUGCGACUGGUCUGGAGUUCCUCGAUCGUCCUUGAAUUUGGGUGGGCCAUGUUGUAUGAUUGUCUUUCCUCUCCUAGUCUGAGUUUUGCAAUUUGAGCAGCCAACGCAGUAAAUGAACAUUCAGUAGAUUAUCAACGCUACAUAUAAUGUAUGCCAUCAUGAAGGUAUGCAGUUUUUCUGUAGUUCGUGCGCACUGGGAUAGAGGCCAUCGUGCAGUUUUUGGCAUCUAGAGAUUGAAUCCAACAAGUGGUGCUGCAAGAGAUGGAAGAGAGCAUUUUCUAGAUCUUAAUUAUACCAGUAGAAAGCAGCUUCAUUAUCAUGUGGUAUGAAUGGUUCCACAGGUUGGCUUUUGGUUACAUCACUCGAGAAGGUGAUACGGCCAGUCUCAGGGUUGCUAGUUAUUAUACUUUAUAUGUUGAAAUUCUCAUUUUUAUGCUGCCAUUCAGCUGGUCAUCUACAGGAUCUUGUGCUUAUGUAUAGCCCUCAAUUUUGUAAAAUGAUACUGUGAAGGAUUGUGGACUGUUACUAUGAUGAUUAAAUUAUCAAAGAUUCAUUGUUCAGGUCCAUUUUUGUGUUUGUGGGUGUUCACCUGGCUCCCUUUAGUAACUUUAAAAAGCAGUUUUUGGUACUCAUCUGACAGUAUAACCAUACUGCCCAUCCCUCUUGCACUCUCUGCACAAAUGAGCUAGGAUCUGCAAAUAAAGCCACUGGAUGUCAGAAAGGAAAGAAACAAAUUCAGCUGAAAUAUUUAGUUCCAGUGAAAUAUGACCAUAACCUUGGUGUAAUAAGGGGCUGCUACAUUCAACAAAUUCAUUAAACAUGGCAAUUUGACAAUGGAAGUAUAUGGUUAUAUAUCAUACAGCUCUAUCAUUAAGGUAAAACAUCACCCACAUUUGGCAUUAAGUUGCACUAAAAACUCAAUGUCAGAUCAUACUGCUAGUAUUCCAACCUCCAGGUGUGCAAUGCCCCCUAGCUAAAGAUGUCUAUGGAUUAGAUUUCAUGCCCUGAUGCGUCGGUGAACUUCGACGAAGCAUGGAGAUUGGUGGCAUUUGUUUAUGAUAGAGACAUUAACCUAAGAUAAGCUACACAUAUCAUGGCAUUGCCUCUUGUAGGGAUCGACUCAUGGACCAAGUAGAACUGAAGAAGCAAGCUUGUGGACAGGUGGAAGCUCAAUGAGAAUGUUGAAAGGCGGUUCCUCUGCCUGAAGCAAAAUGCUUUGCCUCCAAAUACCUCAACCUGCUGGAACAUCUCCUUAACCCAAGUCAUUAUAGAAUCCUGAUGUUGAAUGGGGAUGAUAUGAUGAAGAUUCAGAAGAUGCAGAAUGUAAUUCUAAGAGAGCAUACCGAAUUCUGCAACCAUUUGUGGCUGCUUUGCCUUCAUGAUCAGAUACCUUUUGACCAAGAAAGUUGAAUCCCAUGGCUAUGAAGCACUAAUAACUGCAGGAAGAAAGAGAGUAAUGAUGUUGCAGCCUUGUUGAUCCAGCAUCAAGUUGGAAAAAAUGCUAGAGGAUCCAAAUCUAUUGAAAAGUUUCCUGCACAGAUGCCUUGUUUUAUGCAAGGCAGUUCUUACCCUGUCCAAUCACCCGCCACUGCACAAUACACGGCAAGUGAUCGAAUUAAAUCCUUCCAGCACUUGGAGGUUCCAAAUUCUGGCGACUCCAACCCCACACCCCGCCCCUGGAACUGGAUGAAGAGAAGAAAAAAGAGACAGGCAUGCACCACAGAGAGACGGAGAGAGAGAGAGAGAAAGAUAUGCCAAACCAGGCCUUGAAAGAAGUUCUGAAACUACCAAAAAAGAAAUAUACAUGUACUGGAAUAAUUCUGAAAUGGUUUAGAGACAAUUCUCUGA